rnacentral:rRNA from 1 species
UACGUAGGGUGCAAGCGUUAAUCGGAAUUACUGGGCGUAAAGCGUGCGCAGGCGGUUUUGUAAGACAGGUGUGAAAUCCCCGGGCUUAACCUGGGAACUGCAUUUGUGACUGCAAGGCUGGAGUGCGGCAGAGGGGGAUGGAAUUCCGCGUGUGGCAGUGAAAUGCGUAGAUAUGCGGAGGAACACCGAUGGCGAAGGCAAUCCCCUGGGCCUGCACUGACGCUCAUGCACGAAAGCGUGGGGAGCAAACAGG